rnacentral:rRNA from 1 species
UAACAUCCGGAAACGGGUGCUAAUACCGCAUAGUUUUCUUGAUCGCAUGAUCGGGAAAGGAAGACGGCCCUUUUGUGCUGUCGCUUAUGGAUGGACCCGCGGCGUAUUAGUUAGUUUGGUGAGGUAACGGCUCACCAAGACGAUGAUACGUAGCCGACCUGAGAGGGUGAUCGGCCACAUUGGGACUGAGACACGGCCCAAACUCCUACGGGAGGCAGCAGUAGGGAAUCUUCCGCAAUGGACGAAAGUCUUGACGGAGCAACGCCGCGUGAGUGAAAGAAGGUUUUUCGGAUCGUAAAACUCUGUUGUCAGAGAAGAACAAGUUGGAGAGUAACUGCUCCAGCCUUGACGGUAUCUGACCAGAAAGCCACGGCUAACUACGUGCCAGCCGCCGC